GAGAGCGGCCUUAGCAACCGCUUGUGAGCUGUAAAGACUUGGGUUGGGCGGGGCUGUCGGAGGUGACGCCGGGAGGUCCCGGCUGAGAGUGCCGGCUGGGGACAUGAUUGCAAUGUGGGCCUUAGGAUUUGAACCAAAGGAAGAAGAAAUUUUAAGAAUGAUAGCUGAAAUUGAUAAAGAAGGAAUUGGAAAUGCUUGAUGAAGCUGAUCAUGAUGGAGAUGGAAAAAUAAAUGAGGAAGAAUUUUCGAGAGUGAUGAAAAAGACUACUCUUUAUUAAUAGUGUUGUUUUGGUCCUUGUGGAAAAUUAACAAAUUUGUAUUUGUUAUAUAGUUUUGUACUUUAAUAUCUGAAUGUAUUCAUUUUAAGUUUUUAGUUUAUAUGUACACAUUGGCUUCUUGAUGUCUAAUCCAUGUAAGAAGUUACACAUCUCUACCAGUAUGUUGUUAAAUCUACAGCAUCAAGAAACAAAACAUAAUGACUUCUUUGAACCAUUAAUGCAAGAACAGUAUUAAUUCUACCUGCUCUUUUGAGAACCCUAGGUCACAAGGAGUUAGAAUUUUUAAGUUUGAUGAAGUUGGCUUCAUAUCCAAAUGAAUUUGGCAAACAAACCCUGUAUUUUCCUUUUGUGCAACUCAAAAAAACCUGAUGAACAUUUGCUUUUUAGUCAGUUACUCAAAUACGUAAAGUAUUAAAUAGAACUGUCUGGAAACAUUAUUUGCUAAUUUUCUUCUUUUAGUUGUAAAGAAAAUUCAAAACAGCAUUUACAUCACCCAUAUUUCCCUGUAAGUUUGACCCUAUAGUCAGCACUUAAUACCUCUGUGUUAGGACAGGUGGUGUAGGGAGUUUAUUUUAUUUUAUUUUAUUUAUAUAUUUUUUGAGACAGAGUCUC